GAUCUCGGUGCUUGCACCGGGUGAUCAGUGGCGAACGGGUGAGUAACACGUGAGCAACCUGCCCCUGACUCUGGGAUAACCCCGAGAAAUCGGAGCUAAUACCGGAUACGAGACGCACAGGCAUCUGUAGCGUCUGGAAAGAAUUUUGGUCAGGGAUGGGCUCGCGGCCUAUCAGCUUGUUGGUGGGGUAACGGCCCACCAAGGCGACGACGGGUAGCCGGCCUGAGAGGGCGACCGGCCACACUGGGACUGAGACACGGCCCAGACUCCUACGGGAGGCAGCAGUGGGGAAUAUUGCACAAUGGGCGAAAGCCUGAUGCAGCGACGCCGCGUGGGGGAUGAAGGCCUUCGGGUUGUAAACCCCUUUCAGCAGGGAAGAAGCGAAAGUGACGGUACCUGCAGAAGAAGCGCCGGCUAACUACGUGCCAGCAGCCGCGGUAAUACGUAGGGCGCAAGCGUUGUCCGGAAUUAUUGGGCGUAAAGAGCUCGUAGGCGGUCUGUCGCGUCUGCUGUGAAAACCCGAGGCUCAACCUCGGGCCUGCAGUGGGUACGGGCAGACUAGAGUGCGGUAGGGGAGACUGGAAUUCCUGGUGUAGCGGUGGAAUGCGCAGAUAUCAGGAGGAACACCGAUGGCGAAGGCAGGUCUCUGGGCCGCAACUGACGCUGAGGAGCGAAAGCAUGGGGAGCGAACAGGAUUAGAUACCCUGGUAGUCCAUGCCGUAAACGUUGGGCACUAGGUGUGGGGCUCAUUCCACGAGUUCCGUGCCGCAGCAAACGCAU
rnacentral:rRNA from 1 species